rnacentral:rRNA from 2 species
GACGGAGGGGGCUAGCGUUGUUCGGAAUUACUGGGCGUAAAGGGCGCGUAGGCGGAUUAGUAAGUUGGGAGUGAAAGCCCGGGGCUUAACCUCGGAACUGCUUUCAAAACUGCUAGUCUAGAGUGAAGUAGGGGGUGAUGGAAUUCCUAGUGUAGAGGUGAAAUUCUUAGAUAUUAGGAGGAACACCGGUGGCGAAGGCGGUCACCUGGACUUCAACUGACGCUGAGGCGCGAAAGCGUGGGGAGCAAACAGG